AACGAACGCUGGCGGCAUGCCUAACACAUGCAAGUCGAACGAGACCUUCGGGUCUAGUGGCGCACGGGUGCGUAACGCGUUGGAACCUGCCCUUAGGUUCGGAAUAACUCCCCGAAAGGGGUGCUAAUACCGGAUAAUGUCUUCGGACCAAAGAUUUAUCGCCUUUGGAUGGGCCCGCGUUGUAUUAGCUAGUUGGUAGGGUAAAAGCCUACCAAGGCGACGAUCCAUAGCUGGUUUGAGAGGAUGAUCAGCCACACUGGGACGGAGACACGGCCCAGAAUCCUACGGGAGGCAGCAGUGGGGGAUAUUGGAAAAUCGGCGAAAGGCUGAUCCACCAAGGCCGCGUGAGUGAUGAAGGCUUUAGGGUUGUAAAGCUCGUUUACCCGGGAUGAUAAUGACAGUACCGGGAGAAUAAGCUCCGGCUAACUCCGUG
rnacentral:rRNA from 1 species